AGAAUGUAAAGUUUUAUGAAGACGAAACUAUUUUGCUUAUCAUCCUGUUUCCUAGUGCCUACAAGAGUGUCUAACAUUAAAUGGGUGCUCACAUUUGGGUCUCACUUUGUAAUCCAGGCUGGAGUGCAGUGGUUGAUCUUGGCUCACUAUAGCCUCACACUCCCACCAGGCUCCAGAGAUCCCUCAACCUCAGCCUCGUGAAGUACAUGUCACCACAACCAGGGUGGUGACGGCUCUGCUGGUGCCAGCUCCAGGUUUUGCAUGACCUCUGUGGGCUCCCCUAUACCUGCUUAGACCUCUAUUCUCUUUUUGCACGUGCUGUCUGUCUCCUGCUUGCUCUGUGGCACAGCUGGGUAAGUGUCCAUCUUAUUCCUGGCACAAUGUAGGGGCUUCAGUGUUGGUGGAAAGGCAGAGAGAAAUUCA